rnacentral:rRNA from 1 species
AUUGAACGCUGGCGGCAGGCCUAAUACAUGCAAGUCGAACGAGUGGCGGACGGGUGAGUAAUGUCUGGGAAACUGCCUGAUGGAGGGGGAUAAUUACUGGAAACGGUAGCUAAUACUGCUUACCGUCGGUUGUGCCCAGACGGGAUUAGCUAGUGGUUGGGGUAACGGCUCACCUAGGCGACGAUCCCUACCUGGGCUGAGAGGACGCCCGGCCACGCUGGAACUUAGGCACGGUCCAGACUCCUACGGGAGGAAGCAGUGGGGAAUGGUGCACAAUGGACGAAAGCCGGAUGCAGCCAUGCCGCGUGUAUGAAGCAGGCUUUCGGGUUGUAAAGUUCUGUUGGCGGGGAUGCGGUACCCGCAGAGAAAGCACCGGCUAACUCCGUGCCAGCAGCCGCGGUAAUUC